ACAGUCCCUUCUUGGCAGCCUGGGGGGGGCCUUCAGGCUCGUCACAGUACAGCACCAUCAAUGGUGAGGGGAGCAACACCCUUGGGAAGAGGUCUGGCAACCCUCUGCGCAGCUUCAGUGUGCCUGCCCCGCCCCAGUCUGCCCCCACCACCCCACAGCCCAAACACAUUGUUGCUGUGCGACCCCAGGGUGUCACAAGCCCCUUCAAGAAAUCCUUAGUUCCAGGCUCCUCGGGGAUGCCCAGCAGCGCUGGCCCUGGGGGACCCUCGGGCCGCUGGAUGGGCCCGUCCUCUCGGGUGGACUCUCUGCCCGAGCACGAGGAAGCAAAUGAAGCUCUACUUCAUGGUUACUCAACGGAAGAAUUGUCUCAGGAAAUGGCUAACCUUGAAGGGCUGAUGAAGGACCUCUCUGCUAUCACUGCCAACCAGUUCAACUGCUAGAGUUUAGUGAUGACUGCUUACCAUUACUCUCUGACAUGCUGCUCGCUCUGCCAACUUCACCUGAGUUUAGUAUUUUUAUUUAUUUUUACACGACUCAAUACAAAUUGUAUUCUAGUGAUGUCUUGAAACAAAGCCAACAGAUAUAUAUGUUCAGUGCCAGUACAUAAAAUUUGGGUUUUAUAUCAACUUAAAACUAUUGCAGGGUUAGGGGUGUACAGUCAUAAGUUGCAGCACAUAAGUUGUCAUUUUAAUAUUUCUCAUAAAAUAUCAUGUUUAGAUUUACACCACUCACACUGAAUACCUGAAGCAACAAGCCAUUCCCUGGAGUACCUUUCUUACAUUAUCAAAGAUAAGCAAACAGAGCCUUUUCCAUCUUAUUCUGAGCAGGGUUUCUCAUAUCAGUGCCAGGACCGUCAUGCCAGGUGUAGGAAGAUAAGUCACAAAGCAAAGUGAAUUCCAAGUUACGAUGCAGAGCCACGGGAUGCUCAUGUGUGGUGCGGCCCCUGGCAAUUUACAUUCUUUCUGACCCUAAUUUUUCUCCCACGGCCUGGUUUGUAGGCUCAAACCCAAACACUGUGCGGUGCUGUGCUGGUAUGUGGCCUUAAUCCCCAUCAUCCUGACCCCAUGUGUCCACACCUCCCUCAUGAAAGGCAGCGCUCAUAACAAAUUUGUUGCAGUUGCAGAGUGAUCAGUCUCCAUUCAGUCAGUAAAUACAAUUGAGUCCCAAGCAAUAAUUAUAAACAGCCAGACAGUUUUCCAUGCAUUCCUGACUCUUCCCCCUGGUGCUCCACUUGACAAUAAUUUCUCUCAGUAUUGGAGUUGAUGGGCAGCUUGCUGGUGAUCCUCAGCCACUGAUGGCAGACAGAAUGGUCAGCCUUCAGCAAGACUCAGGUGCUGGAGCCACUUGGCCACAUCUCCCUGAAUCUAAAUACAAAAUUAGUCAAUGACAUCUUUUGACUCCCAUACGUGCUGCUUCGUCAUGUAGCCAUUAUAGCCCCCAAAGCCUGUCAUUCACUCCUUACAUGCACAGCACCUCUCAAGUGUUGGCUGUUAUGGCAUACAAGCCUAUUCAGGGCACAAGUCCAUGAUAAUUGGCUAUUGCUUCUACGCCUCACUGCAAAGACCUGGUAUUAUAUCAAACCAACACUGACUUUAGAAAUAUUAAACAUCUGAGAAACUUACAUGCUGCAAAUUAUGGUUGACGGAGACUGACUGGGUGGAAAUGGUUUGAGAGUAAUUCAUGGGAGUGUUUUGAAUUUAUAAUAUUUUCAUGAGAGGAAAUGACUAAGUUAGUGGUCAGUAAUUUAUUGUUAUUAUCAUUAUUAUUAUUAUUUUUAUAUUAUUAUUAUUGUUAUUAUUUAUUUGUAUUAUAAUUUAAACAACUUUCAAAAGUAGCUGUCACUGGUGGUGUAGUGUGGUGCUUCCAAUCCUCCUCAGUUAGUGGUGUCCUCCGCGCCGCCCCGGCCAGGCUGUGGACCGUCAAAAUGAGUAGGGACAUGCCAUGAAAAUACGUAAAAUAUUUUUUCUUGCAAGUAUACUUGCUUCACGUUUCUUGAAAGCAGCUAAAUGCUAACAUGGGGAAAUAUGAAUGAGGUAGGGAUUUUCUUUUGAAGCAAAUUUGAAUAUUUUUCUUUAUAAAGGUAAUGAAACAUGUAAAAGUGAAACAGUUGAAUCAGAAAAAAAGCAGGCUUGUACAAUACACUACUUUUGCUGUAUUUUAUAGAAGAGAUGAGUCCUGCCUUUCAUGGUGAAUGGUGAGUGUGAGAGGUGAGACGAGGUGAUGGCCUCCAAGCACUGUGUUGCUGAGGACAGCCGAGUGGUGCCUAGUCAUGUUGAGGACCAGAGUGUGUGUGUGCCGUGCUCAGGCCGAUGAGUCUGUUGUUGCUGAGGUGUUUGAAAAUGUAAACACAACAAGUUUGCGUCCCAGUUCCCAGCUCCGAUAUUUCCGUGGACCCGAGAAAGGAUCUGAGUGAGUGAGUGUCGUUGCGUUAACAAAACACUGGACUAGGGUUUGCAGCAGUUUCAGGUCUCUGUGCUCAAUCAUUCUGAAUCUAAAUUCCCUUGAUCAGCAAAUAACGAGUAAAGGAGUUCUUCAUAGGUUCUAGGUUCUUCAUAGCUCACUGAAGACCAGCAUGUCAAAGAUCACUUAGAUAAAACAGUUCAUCAAAAGAGUGGUCCAGUAAUACACAGGAUGACGGCAUCUUGUAAACCUGCUGAUCUUUUGAAGCUCUACUUAAACAGCCUUCCUGCAGCUGUCUGGAACUCCUGACCGUUCGUUUAUUGCUGGAUAUUCACUGUGUUCUCGUUUGUACAUUUGGUGCGUGUACAAACUAGACGUGCAUUUAAUGUUAAGAGUAAUUUUAAGAACUUUUGUAUAGUGGAAACUUCUGAAACUACAUCAUGGGUGUCCUUCCAAGUUAACUUAAUGUUCAGUAACAGUUUAUAACUCUUUUUGUACCAGAAGUCAAUUUUUUGUUGUGUGACUUCUUUUAGUUGUCAUGGAUGAACAGAGACAGUAUAUCAGCAGUAGUGGCAACACUUUGGUAAUGAAGACUUGAUAAGUUUGUCAAUACCCACAGACAUUGGAGACUAGUUUAAUUUAUUGAGUGUAUGUGAUGAAUUUCUUUGUCCAGGUCUUGAUUUUUAGUCAUUCAGGUCAUUUUUUUAAUAGCUGUGAAAAUUAUUUGACAUUUUUUUAUUGCACAAAAUAUAUAAAUGUAAUCAUAUGAUAAGAACUGAUACAUGUCUCAGUAAGUGAAGUGUUAUUAUUUGUCAUCAUCAUUCCAUCAUUAUCAUCACAAUCAUCAUCACUGUCAUUAUCAUUGUCAUCGUCAUUGCACACCAUCUCAUGACAUUCAUCUUCACAACAUUUCACAUGCAUUUAGAAGCAUUUGUACUUUCAGGUUCUCUGGAAAACCCUCAGGUGGUGCUUGACAGAACAAAACUGGGACUUUCUUUACUAUUAGCUGGGCCUUAUCUACUUUUUUAUUGCUAAUGAAAAUCCAGGAUCUGAUAAUGUUAUCAGUCUGACAGAUUUCUGUAUUGGGCCCCAGCUCCUGUGUGUGUGUGUGUGUGUGUGUGUCUGUGUGUAGGAGGAAGUCUCCUUCCUCAGAGUCACACUGUCAACAAGCCAGACAGAAGCUUGCCUAACUUGCCUUCAUAAGUGCAUGUGCUUGAGGUUGAUGGUUCUGAUCUCAGCCACUGGCAGUUUUCCUGUGCAUGGGAACAAUUUUAUUUUCACUGCAUUUUAUCUCCCAGUCUUUGCAUUGACUACUACAGGUCCUCAUUUUUGUGUUCUGUCAUCACCUCUUGAGAAAUUUCCAAAUACCUCUUCAACAAAAUAGACAAUGCAUUUGUAUAAAUGCUCAUACAUUUAAUAGUUUAAUCUUUGUAAGAUCAAAUUUGUAAUACCACUUGCCAUGUAUAUAAAAUUUAGUUUUCAAAUAAAUUUUUAAAUGAUUGAUAGGAUUUAUGGUUAAUUUUGUACAUUGGUGUUUGUCUGGUAUGCAGUUUGUAGGGUUGUGCUGCAUUGUUUGGCACGAGCAGCAGCUCCUUGGGACGUCAUGAUACCUUUGCUCUUAUGAUGGAAUAAAUGUAAAGGUAGCUAAACCAUGGUAAAGUCUUUAAGACCUAGUUUCUAUUUGUACAAAGUAGGUUGUGCAGUGCAAUCCACUUGUUUAGGCAAAGAUUUACCAUACCAGAAAAUUCCUUGGAAGUGCAAAUGUGUUGACCAUAAUAAGUUGAGCUUCAAGGAAAGUGUACUUUAGGGUACAGCCCAGAACAUUUUUUAUGUUCAACAUAUUCCUCAGCCAACAGAAGGAACAUUUAGCCUCAGAGUGGGUGGGAAGUGUUUGCUGCUCUGCCAGAAUGAUUUGCUUCAGCCACACAAUCCUAACAAACAGGUUCCUUCCAAGAAUUCUCUUGUAAGAAUAGUCACAAAAAGAUAUUCUCAAUAAAACAUGAUGUAUA